GCCCGGGUAGCUCAGUUGGUAGAGCAGCGGAUUGAAAAUCCGCGUGUCCCUGGUUCGAUCCCGGGUCGAGGCACCA
rnacentral:tRNA from 1 species